CCUAGAGACCUUCCUCAUCCAGCGACCUCCUGCUCCAGCCUGGGAGCCGCGGCUGCCAUCCAGGACCCGUCAAAAGGAAGGACAUAAUCAGAAGAAAGCAGGAGGCAAGAAAAGGACCAGCAAUGGGAAGGGACAGGACUUAACUACGUUUCACAGGAGUUUCAGGCAACAUGCAGGUCCUAGAAGCAUCUGUACUGCCUCAAACCAACUGCCUAGGAUUCUGUCUCAGAUCUCGACAAGAGCAGGCACCAGGAAAGAGUGGAAGAGCCAGACAAUCAUAUGCAACUCCCUAGCUCCUUCCCUUCAUUUUAGUAUCUACAUCCAGUGUUUCCCUUCAGAAGCUGUGACCUCAGAAGGCUUUUGAGCAAGAUGUUGUUUCCGUAUGUAACUCCUAGUGGAUCUCUUCUCUGAACCUGUCCAGACUAGAGCCCAUGUUCUAUCAUCCAAAAGAGCCAGUGUCCAAAUGUUCCUUAAUGCUUACCUUCCUUGAACUGUGUGUGGAGAAUCACCUCCUUUUGUUUGGUUUGAACCCAGCUCCCAUUCCACUGAUUCUCCUCAGUUCAUGCAGUGAAAGAAACAGUGGUCAUCUAGUGCAACCUCCUGCAGGAUCAGCAUUGAAUUUAGACCAGGUGGCUCAGGCCUUUUGUACAGGGGAGGAUCUGAAAACCUCCAAGGAUAGAAAUUCCACAGUGCCUCUCAGCAAUUUAUUCCCUUGUUUUGUGAAAAUACUUUAAUUACAUCAAGUUAGAAGCUCCCUGGUUUAAUUUAUCACUCCUGUCAUAUGACCAUAUCUUGAGCUGAUCUAUCAUGGUGCCUGCUGCAUUAGCACAUUAGCACACUCACCUGUUUAUUUCAGAUAAAUGCAUUAUGGAAAAAGUAUGUUUUGUUACAGUAACUUGCAGAGCUCUACUCUAAAAUUCAUACCAAGAUGAAAACUUCUUCCAAUUCAUAAAAUAUCACAAGCUGACUUGUGUUGGGUUUGUCAGGAGGUAGAUUUGUGAUUUAGGGCCCUGGAGGAAGAAUGCCUCCAGACAUCAUUUAUCAAUAAGAUUAUUUUGAUUAUUUAUUUAUUUUAUAUAUAUAUAUGUGGCUGAUGCUCAAGCUCUGGUUCCAGUCCUCUAUGGCUGAUCUCAGCCAUGUUUAUUUUCUGUUACAGAUCAUUCAUUGCUCUCUAGAGGCACUAACUGGAAGAAGGUAUUUGGGGUUAUAUUCGGAGUUUCAGGCCACAAUAUCAGGAACUCAGCUAAAUAAAGUGAAAUAUGCUAUUCAACAAGAUUAAGGGUAUACUAAAAGGAGAUUUGAUAACUAGGUAAUUCAAGGAGACAUGCUGAGGUCUCUUGAGUCCUGCAAGUUUGAAUCCAUGUUUGGCAGCUUUAUACAAAUGCAUUAUUGGUAUUACUUGCUCUGUCCACAUCCUCUGGGAGCACUUUUUUUUGAUUACUUCAUUAAGUUUAAUCUGCCUUAGGAGAACAGUGAUAUAUUUUAAAGUACACAAAAAUCUGUACCUACACUUUGCUAUUUCCAGAACAAAAUCAAACAACUGAGCGUGAACACCUUUCCUACCUCAUCCCUUUAUUUGCAGCCCUUGCCCUUCUAUCCAGCUUCACCCUGUCAGUGCCAAGAUCCACAUCUUCUCAUUUCCUCUUUUUCCACUUCUGUUGCACACACCACCAGCCCCAAUCAGGUCUGCAUAUUUCCCUGCACUUUUUCAACCCUUUAUAGGCUAGAACCUUUCCACAAAACAUGGAGUAGGAACCUGGAAAUAAUACUGGAGAUGCUAUAUAAGAAUCUCCAACAACAACAAAAAAAAUCAAGUAUAAUUUCCAUCAGUUACAAUUAGAUCCAGUGUCUAGGAAGUUGCAGAGUCACAUCUGAAUUUCGUGCUGCUGUGUACUCUAGUGAUCUAUUUCCUAAUUUGUCUGAGAACUGAAUAUAAUUAAAUUUGAUGGUCUUAGAGGUCAAAAGCUUCUGCUGUUUUGGGACACUUAAAUGAAGUGAGAUGCAAUGCAUAGAAAAAGCCUGCUAGUUAUGACAUAUUCAUCAUGGCCUGUACAUUUUUUAAAGGCAAGCACAACCUAUAAAAGGUGUGAGGCCAGAGAGAGGCAGAGCAUUUGAGGAGAAAUUAAUCUGAAUUAUCAAAUUUUGGUCAAGAAAGCUCAUAAGCCAUAAUGCCAAAUGAGUAGUAUGCCUUUUAGCAUCAUUUACCAGCUCUGCUCAGAACUGCUGAGGAUUAAAAUCACAAAAGGUUUCACAGUGACAAAUUAAUUUGCAAGAUAAUUUGGGAACAGUUUGCCCAAUUCCUUUUCUGAUUACACAAAAAUAUAGGUUGUGCAACAAAAUUUUCUUCAAGAUUGUGCAGUGAGAUUCUCAUCUAGCAGUGGCAACUGCUUAAGAGACCAGAAAUCAAAACACUGAAGCAGAAGAAUAUAUUAAUCAGACAAUAGGGGAAACGUGGAAAAGAACUUGGAAAAAUGAGGUAAUUCCACAUUCCAGGAAAAUUUCCGAUGCCAUUUCUCCAAAACUGCAACACUUUUUCAGAUGACAGAGCAACUUCACCAAGGAUUAGCUAUAGUGUACGUGUUCAAAUCAAGGAAAACAACUUUCACUGUUCAAUUCUCAAACAGGAUGGGAAAAAGCCAUCUCAAGAGAACAGUAUUAAUGAUUCCAAAAAUAGUACAGUAAGAGUAACACAUUCCUUUGUCCCUGGGUAAAGCAAGAAGACGUGCUUAGGUCUCCAAUUCCUGCAAGUCUGAACUCCCACAAAUGGCAGAUGUAGGACACUGCCAGGUAGGGUCCCUCUGAAAGGAAUUACAAAGAAGAAAAGAUAAUAUAUGUAAUUGAGUACCUAAUGUCAGUACCUCAGUGCAGAAUAAAACAUCAACAGGACUCUUCAAUAACCUCAAAACCAAAAAAUGGCCAUGCACAGCUAGAGCCAGUGUCAUGCUGUAGGAUAAAGGAACAAUACAAAGAAAUAGUAAAGGAAGAUUUAUUUUAAAGCUUGAUGUCCAAAAAUUGUUUUCAUCAAGAAGAGCCAAAUUAAAAAUAUUCCAAAUCAAAGAAAGACCAAAUAUUACCUUAGUGGGUAGGGAAAACAAUCUAACAAAAAAAAAAUCAUUGUAUUCUUUCCAAAUUAAAAUACAGUUGUUGGGGUUUUAUACAAAAAACAAUCAAUUGUAUUCCCUGUUCAUUAAUAUCAGGGCAAGCAGAAAUCAGCUUGAUUUAUGCCAAGAUAAAUUUGAAGGUAGAUGCUACAUAGCAAAUUUCCCAGAUCUAAUUAAGCAGUAAAACAGACUAAGCAGGAAUGUCAUGUUCCCUUCAUCACUGAUUUUUAAAGUCUGAUCCAGACAAAAGUUAUGUCAGGAUGAUUCUAAGUAGGCUUAGAAUUUUGUCUCAGAUCAGGAGCUAUGAACAGAUGAUCUCACAAGAUCUCUUUUAGCCUAAAUUUCUAUUAAAACAUAAGCUGAUUGAAAAUGUUAAGAGUUUUAGAAGUAGGUGGACGUAAAAAAAUUAUCAUCACCUGACGUGGUUAAGAGCACCAUUAUUGAGAGGCUGUCUAGCUCACAGAAGGAAUACAUGGCAACCAUUUGAAUGUAAAGAUACCUUAUUUAACAAGAAGAGGAAGGACAAUCCCUGAUGUAGUUGAAAGAGAGACGCAACUUGCACAGUAUUGACAUGACUGAAUAUAGAGUACACACUCAUUCCUCAUCUGAAAUGUUUACAGUUGGACCACACCAUCCACAGAAUCCAGGAGAGCUAGACACAAGAAAGGGUGGCAAGAGUCACAAGAUAUGCACAAAAGUCAGGCAAACUGUCAGCAAGAUAUCACCCAUUUCCAGGCUAAGCACUUUCCAGGACAAGAUUAAUACAUAUUACUUGCAAUGCCAAAUAAAUGUUGAAUGGAACAGGAGAGGUAUUGCUCAAUAGGUUGUGUUUUUUCUUUUUAUAAGCAUUGACAUUAAAUGAAACAUCUUCUGCAUUUUGUACACAGCAUAAUUUAUGCUGUGGAGAAUUUAUGCUGAGGACAACUUUUUAGACGAAGUACCUUAUAAUAGAUUUGAGACACUUCCCUAAAUAUCCAUGGGACUAGUGUCAGGCAAUAGAAUUCAAUGAGUACUAGAAGAUAAAUAUAGCUCAUAAAGUAAGAAAGAUUAAAUAAUGGUAAAACUACUGUAGAGAGAAUUCCAAAUGCACAAAAAGGAAUUACUCAUUUUCCUGGCCACUGAAAAGGGAAAACCUGGAACUGAAAAUAAUAUAAACAAGUUCAAAUUGUAUCCACACUUCCCCUGAGGAAGAUAUGGAGCAUGGCAGACAUUGUACAAGAAUAAUUUCCAGACUGACUGUAUUGCUGUGCAGUAUCUGACUGAUGACUGCACACAUGGAUCAGCCCAGACUGUAACACUGCUGAGCAAGACAGAUGGGAAAAUGACAUUGAGAAGGCAACGCUCAUGCUGCAUAACAAAUCAACACUUCUCCUUCCAAACCAUGCUGAACUCCUCUAGGAGUUAGAAAAAUGGUAAUUAUCUCUAGUUAAAAGGCUUUCUUUUCCAAAACACAGUCAGUGUUUAAAAGUGUAUUUAUGCUGAAAGUAGCUUUAGUGGAAUCCAGCAGAUAUCUUCAUAACAAUUCUAUUUUUCUUGCAAAUCUCCUUCAUUUUUAAAGACAUCCUACUGAUUUACAUGCUAAUAUCUGAAUAUAUCCAAUUACCCCUCUCACCUGAAUAUCCUAUGGCCCAAAAGAUUUGUGUUUCAGGAACUGAGUUAAGCUUGUGCCCUGAAAUGCACAAAAAUGCAUGAGAAAGCAAAAAUGAGUGAAUACAUUUGCUAAUGGCCAUGUCAAUUUCCAAUUUUCUGUCACACAGGCUUUUAGGAUUACUAUAUUUAACACAGUCCAAUUGCUUCUUCUCUUCAUUUUCUCUCUUUUGCAUUUCACAAAGUCAAAAUAAUUUAUGUACCUAAUACCUAGAAACCUUGUACUAAGAUAUAUUUGGUAAUCAAUAAUUAAACUAAAUAACAAAGAGUCGUAAUUUUGUCAUGACAUUUCUUACCUUUCUAAACAGAAGUGGUGAUAGUUAAAUGCCUGAAUAUUGUCAAAGUUAUUUGUAGAAGAGAGAAACACAAAAGAACAAUUACAUGUGGAAGUCACUUGGAGGAGCAUUUCCAGAAGUUAACUAUUAUUAUUGUAAUUAACAGUUGAGGGUCUUUUCCUCAUUUUUUGGUAAAUAACACUAUCAUCCUGGCAGGACUGAGAAACCCUCAGUUCUUCAACAUUUACAUACCUGUGACUAUUAACAUUUUGUUUUAAAGCAGAUACUUAAAGUCUGUUCCGUGUGUAUGAACAGAAAUAAGCUCACUGUGAUGCCUCAGCCAUGGGCACCUGAGUGCAAAGAGGAGACCCUUUAGUAAGAAACAGGACAAAUGGGGAGAUGGACAUCUCUGACCUGUAAGACAAAGCUUCAAAAUUAUAAAUCAAACUGUUCAAUUAUCUGAAGUUUCAUCACACAUUAUGCAUUUUUCUCCUUUCCCCAACAUAAGAUACUUCUCUUCUGUAUUCCCAUCAAAGCUUUUCUCCCCAGGCUUUGAGUCCACUAUGCUGUAUAAUCGCCCACAAAUGGUUAUUAGCCUUUUCCAGCACCUCUGGCAACUGCCAUUACCAUAUUUGCCUUUUUUUUUGCAACUACUUACUGCACUCAAGGCAAGCAGAAUGUCACAUGUUCCAAGUAAUCUUCACUAAGAAUUUUUUUCUAACAAAAUGAAAGACCCCUGAAUUCACUAUCCAGGCUCCUCCUGAAGUUUGUUCCUGGUUUGCUUUGCAAGACACAUAACUUCAUCCUGGAGUCCCCUUAAUAACAAUCCCCAUACCAAGUUCCAGACAAGAUUGAAUUUUAGCAUCUUCUACCUGUUUCCAGGGAUUUUGUUUUCUCAGCAGGCUUAUAACUCUCCAGGGUCUCAGCCUUCUUCCUACAUAAGCUUUUGCCAGGCAGAGCAAUCUCUUCCCACCAUGGUCUUCCAGUUCCUCUUUGAAAGACUUCUGUGCAGAACAGUCUAAGAUUUUGGUUAUCUGCUUGUCUCCAGAAGGAGAUAACUGAGGUUUAACCAGGCUCCUUGAUUUUUCUGGAAACACGAAGUAUACAUACCUCAUCAGAGGUUUUCUAAUAUCCUGCUUCUUUCCUGUUUCUCCUGCUGUUACAACCCUAGCAAGUGUGCCUUCUUCCCAGUCCUCCACAUCUGCUUUUACCUCUUCCUAUGCUGGACUUGGGGCCUUAUGUGAUUUUCCAGUCUCCUGCUACACACCUGUAUCCUUUCCACUCCUGCCUUCAGUGGUUUGCAAAGGAAAUCAGUCAGUUGCAAUAAAGCAUCUGUAUGUGAGCAUGACAUAGCCAGUAGCUAUAGUAACAGAAAAGCUUACUUUAAAACAAAACAAAAAAGAAUGUGAGAGGUAUCUCUCAUCUUUCCUCCCCUCCCCUAAUAUUGCAGGGCUCCAUAAAUAUACCCCUGCACAUCUUCAUCUAAUUGUAUCUCCCCCUGGCUCAAAACAGGGUGAGAGAGAAGGAAAACUUUUCUUUUUUUUUUUUUUUUUGCCUGGUGUAAGGAGGAAAAUAGAUAAUAUCACACAGCAAAACUAGAAAGAAAAGAUCUCUCUCCCAGGAAAAAAUAAAAAAAAUAAAAAAAAAAAUCUGUAGGUUGCAAAUCCAGGAUAGGCAAAAUUGUCACUAUCCCACUUCUACCUUAAUUUCUGAUACAGGUUCAGCAAUAGGACCCUUGCACACUGUGAAAUUAAUCUCCACUGUUCCCUUUGUAUUGUCUUGUUCUCUUAAUAAUCUUCCCUUCCUGAAAAAAGCAGGACCAGUGCCUCUCAGUUUUCAAGUCAGUUCAAUAUCAGAUGUUAAGGGACUGAAUAGUUCCUUAUUCCUCAGAAAGACAGAUGCAAUUCAGAUGUGUGGCUAUUCCCUUUGGGUUACAAAUUAAGUCUUAAGGUCAGGACCACCCAAAAGCUUCACCUAGAACUGAGCCUACCUGCACAGCCCUCCACCUGCAAUCCCCAAAUCCCAGGGGUGCAGGUGGAUUCAUAGGUCCCUGGCACCCAGCAUGGGAGCCAUCUCUGGGGAUGGGAAUUCCAGCUGAGGCUCCCUGGGUGCACACACAACCAGCUCCUGCAAUGCAGCUCCUCACCCCAGGUUGCUCUGCAGGAACUACUGGUGUGCAGAUCCCCAGGGAGUCCCAGGAGCAAUUUGGGAGGCGAGCAAGGGCUUCAAAAACAACCUUUUCCCCAGUGGAGUGCUGUGCUGCCUAAAGACAUCAGUUCAGACCCUGAAGCAGUCAGGCCACACACUCAUGCUUGCAACCCAGCUCACUGUUACACCAACCUGGAGAUCAGUUUUUAAUAAUUCAAAACAGCAUAGGUAACUUCUAAAACAGUUACAAAAAGAAGAGCCUUCUACAAGUUCUCUUUGAGAACAGCUCUUGCAUCUGACUGGACUGAGUCGAGGUAAAGAUGCUUUUUUUGAACUCCAUAUACUCCUAAUUCCUCUAGAACUUGUGUACAUGGACUUCCACAGAAAAGACCAAAAUAGACUUUGUGCCUCAGCUUACUUUACCACUGAAUAGGUCAGCAGGGUGCACACAAUGUUCAGUAAUUUAAUGCACUUCUACGUGAGUCAUACCUUUUCAUUCCUGCUUUUUAAAAUGUGCAUAUUGAAAUAGAUAAACAACACAAAAAAGAUGUCUGUCUAGCAAACUUCAUUAUUUUUCACAAAUUAAAUCUUCUUAAUUUGCUGCAGUAUUGUCUUUCAACAAAUUAUUCUUUCAUUUAUUCUUUUUUCUGGACAGUCCCUUUCCUGAGGGACUAAUAAUCUUCCAUAGAUCCUGAAGUAUUUACAAUAAAUCCCACUUGGAAUAUAUUUCCUUUUAAUCAUUAAAACAAGUUACCAUGCAGUUAAGGAGAGAGUAUUAUGUAUUUCAGCAAGUUAUACCUGAUAUUCUUCAAACUGGAACACUGUUAUACCUGAUUCAGUUUUAUACUUUGACAUGUCUCCAUUGUUAUUGAACAACAGUUAAAUAUAAUACACUGUUACAAAUAAGUUUCAUUCUUUAGAUAGCUGAUGGAUGUGAUCUCUAAUGUGUUCUCUACAAAUCAUGAGUUAUAUCCCGCUUCUUAAUUGUAGAGUCCUCUGAAAUCUACUUUAAAUAGUAGCUAAGCAGAUUAAAUACAAAAAGGAACAAAAGCAAGGCAGUUUGCAAAAGGAUAAAUUUAAAGUUUUCUGCUCAGCACUGUAUAGUUUUUCCACAGACUGUUUUGUAGACAAUCAUCUUUCUCAGUCACUUAUUAGAUCACUGUAAUCUGGAUUUCUAUAUUGACUGACUCAUUUUCAAUGUCAAUCAUAAUGUGAAAAUUUAAUAAAACAACUCUAAUUGUUCUUCAGAAA